rnacentral:rRNA from 1 species
UACGAAGGGGACUAGCGUUGUUCGGAAUCACUGGGCGUAAAGCGCACGGUAGGCGGAUUUGUAAGUCAGGGGUGAAAUCCCGGGGCUCAACCUCGGAACUGCCUUUGAUACUGCGAAUCUUGAGUCCGAUAGAGGUGGGUGGAAUUCCUAGUGUAGAGGUGAAAUUCGUAGAUAUUAGGAAGAACACCGAGUGGCGAAGGCGGCCCACUGGAU